rnacentral:lncRNA from 13 species
CUUAGAUUCCUGACCUGCAGAAAUGGAACUCAUAAAUGUUUACUGUUUUUAAGCCACUCAGUUUUGUGGUUUGAUCAUACAGCAGUGAUCAAAUGCUCUAUGCUAUAUGAGUAAGAACCCCCAUGGUCUCCAAAACAGUAGUGACUUCACAACAACAACAAAAUGUUUCCUUUUACUUACAUUGUAAUCUAAUGGCCCCACUCCAUCCUGAAUCCCGGCUGUGGGUUCCCAAAGCAGCUGUGGCAGGAGAGAGUGGCCGGGCAUAGAAGAUCCUGGACAAGGGUGGUGAAGGGGACAUUUUAAAUCACUAAACCUGUAGAUGAAUUACAUCCCUUCUCUUUUCAUCUUUAUCGGCAAAAACCAAGACACAUGCCCCUCCUUAACUACAAGUGCAGCUGAGAAAAGAAGAGAAGCACAAGGAAGAUGGAACUUCCUGUCUAUUCCCUUCGACAAUAUAAUGCAGUAUCCUUUUCUAAAGACCAACAGAAGGGCUCUUAAACCCCAUUAGGUGAGACAAUUGUGUUU